rnacentral:siRNA from 1 species
GGGGUGGAGAACAUGAGAUUUAC